rnacentral:rRNA from 1 species
AUUGAACGCUGGCGGCAGGCUUAACACAUGCAAGUCGAGCGGUAGCAUGGUGAUACUUCGGUAUAACUGAUGACAAGCGGCGGAACGGGUGAGUAAUGCAUAGAUAGCUAUUUAUUAGGAGGGGGAUAGCCUUAGGAAACUGAGAGUAAUACCGCGUAAGCUCUACGGAGGAAAGGGUGCCUACGAAAGUAGGUGCCGCUGAUAAGUGCGACUAUGUUCCAUUAGCUAGUUGGAAAGGUAAAGGCUUCCCAAGGCGAUGAUGGAUAGCUGGCCUGAGAGGGUGUACAGCCACACUGGGACUGAGAACGGCCCAG